UACGUAGGGUGCAAGCGUUGUCCGGAUUCACUGGGUUUAAAGGGUGCGUAGGCGGUUUAGUAAGUCUGGCUUCAAAGACUGCAGCUCAACUGCGGGGAGGGGUCAGAUACUGUUAAACUUGAGAGUACUUGGGGCAGGCGGAAUUUGUGGUGUAGCGGUGAAAUGCUUAGAUACCACAAGGAACACCGAUCGCGAAGGCAGCCUGCCAAGGUAACUCUGACGCUGAGGCACGAAAGCGUGGGUAGCAAACAGG
rnacentral:rRNA from 1 species